UUCGCAAUGCCCGAAAGGGUGACGAAGCGACGCCGCGUGCGGGAAGAAGGCCUUCGGGUUGUAAACCGCUGUCGGGAGUUAAGAAAUGCAAGGGUGUUAACAGCGUCCUUGCUUGACUAAGGCUCCGGAGGAGGCCACGGCUAACUCUGUGCCAGCAGCCGCGGUAAUACAGAGGCGGCAAGCGUUGUUCGGAAUUAUUGGGCGUAAAGAGCACGUAGGCGGCUGUGUAAGUCGGUUGUGAAAGCCUUCCGCUCAACGGGAGAACGGCAUCCGAUACUGCAUGGCUUGAGUGCGGGAGGGGAGAGUGGAACUUCUGGUGGAGCGGUGAAAUGCGUAGAUAUCAGAAGGAACACCGGCGGCGAAGGCGACUCUCUGGCCCGUAACUGACGCUGAGUGUGCGAAAGCUAGGGGAGCAAACGGGAUUAGAUACCCCGGUAGUCCUAGCCGUAAACGAUGGGCACUAAGUAGAGGGGUUUU
rnacentral:rRNA from 1 species